AUGUCUUUCGCGAAUCUCUUGACAAGCCAUUUUUUUCUUAUUUUAAAAAUAAAUUAUUUUUAUAAAAGUUGUGUUUUUAUUUUUUGUCAAACGAAAACAUCAGUGACGUAUGUGCGGCCCGUUGGAAUAUAAAAUACUUUCAUUUGAUCUUGCCUUCGCUUUUAUCUUCAUCUCGUUGAUUCUUAUUUAAAUGUUGUCUUGUUCGUAAUUGAAGUUUCGCAUAUUUCUUGAAGGGGACAAAAAACAACAAAGGCGAGCUGGUAAAACGAAUUUCGCCACUGUCUGCAACCCCACUCGAGCGCUUCGUCUUCCUCUGCGAUAGAGGACUUUGCUCUCCAUUCAUUGUGAAGCUUAGUGCUCAACAGGGACAAAAUGUUUAUACGGUUCCGCGGUAUGUUUGGCCGGCUGCCAGAGGAUACUGCGCGUACGUUUUGCCGACGAAAAUAGACAGCCACGGACUAAAAUCCCCCAUGACUUCUCUUUCGUCGUUUUCGCCUCUCCGUGCGACGUGGGGCAUGAAAUGACGAAGACCAGAGCGGGGGAGGAGCCGAGACUGCGUGGAUCCGAUAUCUGUGGUGUACGAGCAGAAGAAACCAAGUGUCUUCUGCAUUGGCUGGCUGGCUGGCUUCCGCUCUCGUCUCUUUUCUUUUUUAACGAAGAAGAAACGCCAGGGGGAGACUGCCGAGGGAGGAGACACCUUGGCUCGCACCCUCGCCAAGCAGCGUACGUUGGCCCUGCGGCAUCGUCGCCGUUGACGUCUCUCCGUUCUUUGUAACAGGGCGACCGCGUGUUCUCUCUCUACUGCGUCUUCGGUUUUCGGUGUUUACCGGGAAAUCGUCUACGCGAGUAGCGAUGAUUUCACAAAGAUGGCCGGGUGUAUGGCAAGUACGUGCCUUCCUUGACGUUCUUGUGUCAUUUCCAUCGUGCAUUUUCUUCAUUUUUCUUUAAAUAAAAAAUUCAUACGUAAUCAUAACUUUGCAGAUUAAAUUGCGUCCUUGCGAUUAUUUCUUUAUUCGUAAGAAUUAUAAAUUUCUAUCAAUGUAGAUUAACUUUAAUCUCGGUUUAACUUAUUCUUUAUCUUUUCUCAAUUCUCAAAACCUAAUAAAAAGAUAAAAAAUAAAUUAAACCAAUUACAGUUAAUCUCUAUAUAUUGGUAGAAGUAAACAUAAAUCAAAUUAAUUUUUUUUUCAACAUUGCGGGAUAAACUUCAGAUAAAAAUUGUUGAAAACUUAAGAGAAGAAUACAAAUAAAUAUACAUAAAUACAACCAAUACAAGUCGACAGGAAAGACUUGAUACAUUCAUCUUCAUCAAGGUCGUGCCAGAUCGCGACAAAAAUGUCGUUCGCAUUCGUGACGCGCGUUUAUGCGACCUUGAUUUUCGCGAAUGUCUAUUUUUCAUCUUGGAAUUUCCCCGCGGUGCGAACAACACGAUCCGACGACGCGGGCCGUUCUGUCUCAGUGACUUUUAUUGCGACUUCUGUGUAUCUCUUCAACAACGCAGGACUCUUUCGCAGCACGUGCGCUCUUAUACGAGGGUGACUCCAAAAAGUAAAGCUACGAAAGCGCAAACAAAGCAGUUUGUAACGGCGCAUAACGUGUUCAUUAGACGCAUGGAACUCGAUACUUCCGGUAAACUUGCAAUUGUUAAUACUUUUCGGUAUGUAUCUUGCUCUGUUACUCGCUCGCUUCUGAAAUGAUAGAACUUUUAGUAAAGAAUACAAUUAUAAAUAAAUACAAUAAAUUUCAAAUAGCAAAACAGCGUUAGAAGAUUUACAAUAAAUUCUAUUUUAAAUAAUGAUAAGAUAUAUGAUCAGUGUAAAAAGUAAUUUCCAAAUAAGAAUUUCAAUUAGGAAUCUAGUGGUUUUACAAAUGUAUGCAAUUGCAUUUUCAAGUGUCAAAAGAUAGGAGGUACAUGUAAUAGGAUUAUUAUAAAGUGUGAGAUUUACGAUGAUUAACAAUCUAUAUUCACCUUUAUGAUCACUUUAUAUAAUAACAAUGAGCGAUAAUACAUCGGUUUGCAAUCGCGAAACGCGCAACAUCUUAAAUUACGGCCACACAAAAAUGCUUAUGGAUGGAUUUCGCUAAUACGAAGCUGAUUCGUAUGUCUGUUAAAUGCAUUGUGAACAAUUAAGUUAAAUACAGUCAAAAUUUGCAUAGCUUUUUCACAUUGUCGUUAUAUCAAUAUCGUUGAUUUAGGCCAAAGCGGUAAAAUUCUUUGAUUAUAGAUUUAACAGUCAAAGAUCUGCAUUCAUUCAGCGCAUUUAAGCGUUACACGUGCCAUCCAAUUGCCAUCAACAGGCCUAAGUCAAAUGCAUUUUUUACGUAAAUAGAGAUGGGAAUCGCAGAAUCAUAUCUAAUGCUAUAUGUAUAACGCCAAUUUUUUCGUUUCCAGCUUCCUCAAUAUCGUAAACUGACGUAAACAUACC